rnacentral:lncRNA from 1 species
AAGCUUAUAGUAUAAAAUACUACACGUUUAGGUUUAAACAAAUGGAUAUGGCAGAGCAAUAUGUAACAAUCCAAUAAUGCUUAUUUCUUUUUAUUUUAGUAAUUGAGUUUUGUUACAAGAUAGAUUCUGAAACAGUUUUACACACACACACUACUCAACCUUGCUUAGCAAGGCAAUCAAACAUGACUUAUUAGGAAAAGAAAAAAUUGAAACAAAAUUAAGAUGAAGCUUGCAUGUCUCAUCAUCAUCAUCUGCUGCUUAUGAAGUUGCAGGGACCAAGCGUCUGGAGCAAAUUGUGCAGUAGAAUUUCUUCUUAACUUUAUGAGAGAUUGGAAGAAAACAAAAUCUCAAAUGGGCAUCAAAAUCUAUUGCCAGCACAGGCCCUCCACAGUAUGGGCAAGCUGCAUCAGCUCCAUUUCUCCUAAUCACCUUUUCUCGCAGAUCGAAUAUUGACAACACACUCAUUUUUCUCUUUUUGUUGGGGGACGUUGUUGUAAGCAAUGCUUGUUCUCAAUAUAUUUUUGUAUGCACAUAAUAUAUACUUAAAGAUUUGGGCAUGCAACUUCUUUGGAGUUUCAUUUUUAAUGCUGUUUCUUAGCUGGGGCGCUAUUUUUUUUUUUAAUUUAGUUACAACUGUUAAAGAACUUGGUAUUUUUCUCGAACUGAUUGGUGAUGUUCACGUUUGGUGCGUUUAAAGCAAGAAAUGAAUCAAUUGAGAAGCUGCGAAGAAAUUGGUAUUGAAAGCAGCGAGGUUCGCUCCAGGUCAAAAAAAUGGUGCAUUGACGGUUUGACUUCUUGGACAUUUUAGCUGCGGUUUCUCACUGAGCCCGUGUUUUUAAUUACAAUAGAAGCUUUACACCCUGGAUUUUGAUGUAACUGAUGUAUUCAUUUGACGCACCGCACCAUAUUAUGUGAAAAGAAAGGAAUAAAAUCCUUUUUUUAUCUGAAUAUUAUUGAAUUUUUAAUGAUUUUUUAUUAUGUGUCUUUUAGUGAUAGUGUACGGAUAAGAUUUAAUUUCUUUUUACUUUUUUAUUUAUUAACAACCAGUCAGUGAUUGAGUUAUUUGCUCAUGACAUGAUCAAAUCAUAAAAAAAUCUUGAUCCAAAAAGAAAAUAGAUUAAAAUGUGCAACAUGUUUACAUCCUGCAUCACUUGGGAAGGUUGUAAGUCAUGAGCUCAUAAUUUGUGAUCCCCUUUGAGUCUAUUAGGAUUCUUUUCGGGUGGGCUUGGGCAGUACCAAAAGAAAGAAAUCCAAAGGGUAAAGGAGACAAUAUCUUGUUAGUGGAUCGGCCGUUACAUUAGAAUAGAUUGAGUUACAAGUGGGAUGAUGUUAUUCUUUUUUUUUUUAAUUAAUAUUAUUUAUUUUAGAAUUUCCCUUAUUACACAAUAAAUAUUUUUUCUCCUCCCUCAGGAUCUCAAUAGACUAACUGACCACGUCUUACAUCUCUCUUUCUUUUCUUUUUCUUUUUUUUAAAUUGAUUCGCAAUUUGAAUGAAAUGUUAACUCACAGUCAAAUCCCCAACUAAAAUUAAACAAAAUCUUAUAAAAUCACAAGAAGUAAGGUCAAUAUCAUUAAUAACAACAAAAUCCAUCACUUGUUCAUAAAAUUUAAUAAAACUCAAUAUUGAAACUCGUCAUAUGUUGAUGGAUUUAUGUACCUGUUGUCGAUGAAGAUAGAUCGUAGAGGUGAUAAUUAUACUAGAGAGAGAGAGAGAGAGACGGGGUGGGGAGAGACGGAAAAAAUAAAAUAAAAAUUAUUAUUUUUUAAUUAAGAAUGAUUCAGAAAUAUUAUAAAAUAAAUUAAAAAGUGGUGGCCGGUAAUAUCGUUUGAGAAGGUAAAAUAUUAUUACUCUUAUCUCUUGACUUGCCAUUGCUUGGUCUUUUUUUUUUUUUUCCUUCUUUCAAAAUGGACUUAUCGUUACAUUAGGAGAAAUUAAAGAGUCGGACGAUUGGCUCCUCCCUAAAAAUCCUAAUAAAACACCUUUUUCAAAAGAACCCCAUUAAUUAAACUAAAAGAAUUCAUUAUUUAUAACGAUACAUGCAUUCUUCCAAAAUUACCCUUAAUUUAAUCUCUUUAAAUUUGGCUUAUUUAUGUAUGAAUAUAUAUUUUUUGAAAUAAUUACUUCUUUAACAGAAAAAAUUACAAGAGACCUACCAUUUUGGAAGGGCAUCCUCCAACAUUUGAUCAAGGCCCCCGCUGCUAUAAUAGCCAUCACCAUCAUCUUAUUUUGCGCCUGUAAAAGCUUUACAAUCAGCAAUUAAACCGUAUAAACAAACAGUUGAGGUUUCAUUUUCAAUACCAUCCAUACGGAACAAGAUUCCCACAGCCUCAAAUACGAAUGGGGUUUUGGCCAAUUAGACUGAAUAGCUGCUGAGCAAAUAUGUAUAUAUAAACAUAAGGAUCAAAGUUGUGGUGUUGAAAAUGACCCAAGAUCCUUGCGUGUUCAUUAAAGGAUGCGUACUCGAAAGAGAUUGAAAUAGGGAUAGUUUUAGAAGAAGAUCAGUUUCCUCAUAAAUAAUGAAUUCUGUUUUAUCUGUUAAAGAGGUUCUUUCAUAAAGAGGGUUUUAUCAGGACUUUAUUGGGGUGUUGUUAGUAGCUCAACCCUAAAUUGAAUUAAUGGGCUGGCAAACCUAAAAGGUAUUUGACUAACCCCCUAAUCUCCUCAUGAAGCUCCAUUUUUAAUUAUAUUUAUUUUAUUUUUGAAAAUAAAUUUAAUUUUUAUUUAAUUUUUUUAUUGUUAAAACUUAAAAUAGUAUUGUAUUAUUUUUUUCAUUUCUUUUGUAAUCUUAUUGUUACUCGACAUACAAACUGAAAAGUUUUCUAGUUUAUGAAUUUUUGGAUGUUAAUUAUUAGCUUAAAUAGCACAUAUAUUUAGACUGUAGUUUGAAAGUAAUGUUAAGUACAAAAAUAUUUAAUUAAUAAGAAAUAGAAAAAAAAAAAAAAAAAAGCGAUUGAUCAUGAAUGUGAGUAUUUUGUUAAAAAAAAAAAAUUCCAUGUGUUGACUUCUUAUUUGUUCUUAACUAUAAUUUUAUUUGAAGUAGGGUUUUAUAAGAAUAAUGAAGGGGUGCCAAUAGCUUCACUCAAUGGUAUUUAUCCUACUCAACUUAUUUCACUAGCCCCACUAUCUAAUUUGUUUCUAAACCUACCCUGUAUCAAAAAAUAAAUAUAGUAGAAUCUCAUUAAAUUAAUAAUUGAUAGAUUGAUAACCUUGAUUAAAUAAUAGUUUUUCAAUUUUGACUUGGGAGCAAUGUGGUAAAUUAAUAAUUCGAUAAAUUUAUUAGAUAAUAAAAAAAUUUUUAAAAAUAUUAUCAAUUAAUUCAUAAAUUAAUAUUAACUAAUUUAAAACUAAAUGCAUAUUUAAUAUGUCUAUGAUUUUCUUUGUUGUACUAUUAUAAUGCUUUAUGCAUUUCAUCUGUCACAAUUGCUUUUUUUUUUUAUAUACUUUUCAAAUAAAAAGUCAUUGUUGUAUUCUAUAUGCUACGUCAAGAGAAAUAAGAGAGAUGGCUUAAUAUAUUGCCUUCAAAUGUCUUCUUUGAUGAGUUACCAUGUAGUUGUGAUCUAACCAUACAAUCUAACCAAAAGAUUAUCACAGGACUAGUUCACUCAAUCAAGAACAAAUAAAAACUAUAUUAUAUAACUUGACGAAAUCACUAUAUUCUCUAAUUAUACUACAUUUACACUUCAUAAAAACUCCUAUUAUGAAUUGUUAUUAUCUUUAUAAAUUAAUGGUUAUUAAUUUAUCAAUGUAUUAAUAUUUACUAAAUUAAUAUAUUUUAAAUGAUCCAAAAGCUGUUAAUUUAUCAAGGUCAUACUAUCAUGUGCUUUAUAUAUAUAUAUAUAUAUUUUUUCUCAAGUAUCACCAGCUAUUUAUUUCCAUUGUGGAAGUUUCGGUAACAGUGGUGGGAGAAGGUGGUUGGAAUUUGUGAAACUGUUUUUGUGUUUUUUGUUUUAAUGAAUUUUUAUUUUCUAAUAAAGAUAAUUAUAUAAAGGGAGAUUGCCAAUUUCCCCCCUACAGUAAUUAACAUAUACUAUUUACUCCCCUUCUUUUUUUAUAAUGGCCAAAAUUCCCACUGACAGUAUAAGUUUACAAUAUUAUCCUUAUUUUUAAUUACUCUUUUAUUUAUAUUUAUUAUAAAUUAAAUAAAUUACAUGAAUAGAAAUUAAAUAAAAAAUUAAGCAUUAAAAAAAUAUAUAUGUUUUGAUAUGAGAAAAAAAUUAAUAAUAAAUUUUUUUUCUUGUACUUAUUUAUUUUGUGAAAAUUUUCUUAUAAUAAAUGUAUAAGAAAGUUAUUAUAAAAUGAUUAAAAAAUUAUUAUAAGAAAAUUUGAAUGACAAAUAAAAAUUUAUUAUAAGAUAAAUAAUAAAAUAUUUUGCCUAUACUUUUUAAAUUUAAUUUUAAAAUAUUACAAAAUUUUUAUUAUAAAAAAUGUUCACAAAAUAAAUAAUUACAAGAAAAAAAACUUAUUAUUAAUUUUUUUGCUCAUAUCAAAACAUAUAUUUCUUGUUUUUAAUACUUAAUUUUUUUAUUUAGUUUCUAUUCAUGUAAUUUAUUUAAUUUAUAAUAAAUGUAAAUAAAAGAGUAAUUAAAAAUAAGGAUAAUAUUGCAAACUUAUGCUGUCAGGGGAGUUUUUGGCCAUUAUAAAAACAUCAGGGGAGUAAAUGAUAUAUGUUAAUUACUGUAGAGGAAAAAAUGGCAAUCCCCUUGUAUAAAUAACUGCAGUUAAUUGAAAAGUGGGGAUUAAUAAGAAAAAUUAAGAGAUUUAGAUAGCAUUGCUAUUUAAACAAAAAAAAAAAGAAAAAGAAAUUAAACAGAAAGAAGAAAUAAUUAACCAUCCCCGCUUUAAGUAUCCUUGAAUACCCUUGAAUAUCUUUCGCAUAUUUCGGGUUAAGUAUUUUACUUCACGUGAAAGUGUGAUUGGGCUUGGACAGAAAUCCAUUUUAAAUGCAAAUUACCCCUCUAAUUAAAUAAGAAGUGCUUCAGUACGCUCUUCAAAACAAAUAAUACCAUAAGCAAUUAAUUCUAAGCGUAUAUCAAAUCCACGGAAGCAGUAAUUCGCUAUGAACAUUCCCAACAUAAUUAAUUGGCUUCAAGUGACAAGCAUAAAGCCAGAAUCAGUGAUCAUUCUCGGAUAUACAAGAAAAGAAUGCCAUGUAAUGUACUGAUAAACACAUAAAUGUCAUGAUGAGGGUACGUCUACGGGGUUGUGGGCUUCAAUAUCCACGUGCCGUAUGCCAGGAACGAGGUCCUGGAUCUCCUUCUCUAGUCUAUCAACUUCAGUUCCUAAAGCUGUAACAACUUCCUCGCCUGCACCAAGAACUCGAUGUUUAAAACAUUCCAAGCACAAUUCAAGUUAUACAACAAACUGCAUGCAUACCAUAGUUUGACAUGAUUUUAAGCAAGGCUGCGUCGUCCUUCUCCUUUGCAGCUUCACGAAACUGUCAUCGGAGCCAGUCGGACAGAUAGAAAUAGUUAAUGAUAUUAACUUGUGAAGUAUGGCAUGUGUCAAUUCAACAAGGGAGUUGGAAGUAAAAUAUAUGCACGUAAUGAAUUUGUAAGCGUUAGGACUCGCAAAGUUAAUAGUUACCAAAACAUUGGACUGUAUCAGUUUCUAAUAUGCAUGUGAUACAUUUCAAAAUAAGAAUGUGAAGUAAUAUAAAGUACAGACUAAGAUGAUUAACCUGUUUGGCCCAAGCUUCACGUCCGGUUCUCUUUAGAUAAUUCUGUACAACCAUCACUCCGUUGAAAUCUGUUUCAAUUCAGCCAAACAUAAUCGUAUCAUAUUAAUACACCACUAAUGCCAAAUUAAUUCACAUUAAUGAAACUAAAUUUCAUGAGUGGCAUAGCUGAAUAAUGCCUGCUUCUUUCCACUUUCAAUACAUGAUUAAAAUGAUUUCUUAUCAUUACACAUAAAGUUUGCAUCUAUGUAGGCAAUUAAUCAUCACAAAUAUAUGCUGUGUACUCCAUAUUAUCUAUAUGAAUUUACAAAUGCCAAAGCAGCUCAUAUGGAUUGUAAACUAAGAAUAUUAUCAGAGAAAUUCACACCUCUUUACAGAAACAACAAGCUACUACUCUUGCAAAGAUUUCUACAAAAAUGUAGAUACCAAAUGUAACAGAGACGACAUGUUGUUGACAAUAAUCAGAUAUUGAUGUUGACAGAAAUUAACUCUCUGACAAAUCAGCAAAAGUACGAGCUAACACAGGGAAGAUUGGAAACAUUGACAGAUAUAUUGAUUUUAGAAGGAAAUUCAGGAAACGAAGUUCCAAGAAAAAUAAAAUUGCAGUAGGACAUGGCAAGAAAAAUCACCUAUCUCUGCCUUGAAUCUAAAGAAUCCCGGUCCAAUCACCUCGCUUUUGCAAUCAUAUAGAGCAUCUACAACCUGCCAAAAUUUUAGAUUUUCAAACAUGGGAAUAAUGCACAGAACAAAUGUAGUCGUAGACUUAUCUUACAUGAACAUACCGGAUCAUUUUUCAAGAAAUGGAGAAUCUUCUCCAUAUCAUGGUCAUCCAUAGCCCUACCAAUCAAAGCAUGACGAUUCCUUUGUAUUAGAAAUAUAGCCACCUGCAUAGGAGAUACAGUUCAUUACCUAUAACAAUAGUCAAAAUUUUAUUAGUUGUUCUCUUGUCAAUAUAAUAUACUAAACAGCGAUAAGAACAGUCAAAUCUGAUGACAGUUCCAAGAUAAGCCUGACCAUCAGAUAUUAUUGAUAAAAGAACAGUAAUUUCUGCAUGGCCAAUUCAUUAUUUAGAGCAUCAUUCAAAGUGCAGCAAGCAAUCUUGCUUUUGCCACUAUUCCUCCUCUUCUACUCUAACUAAUAAUACAAAACAAGCCAUUUUCAUAUUUUCAUAUUCAAAAUUUCUAAUUUUAAUAGCCAUUGGGGCUUAAAUUUACAAUUAAACAGAUUCCUUCAACCAGCUCUUUUAAUCACACUUAUCACUUUCUGUAACAAUCUUAGUUACCAUUUUUGGGAGCCUAUCUCCAAAUUCAAAUAAUCAGUAAAUGUAUAAAUUCCAUAUUCAUACAGAUAUAAUUUUUUUUUUUCAAAAAUGCAUUUUAUAUUUUAAAGUUUUUUCUUUCGAGUUACCAUGCAGCCACCUGAUCUCACCGUAAAUUAAACUAAAUCCCUCUCCAAAGUUGGUGUGAGUAGGAUUCAAACUUUUCACCUCUUCAUUUCACUAACAGGCCACGAGGCCAAACUAGCUGGAGUGUUCCCUUGAGGACUUCGUACAGAUCUAUUCAUGAGAUCAAUAAAAACUAAAAACAUAAAUGAGCAGUAGAAAACGGAAUUGAGAAACAAGGAUCCUGUUUCAGUAAGAUUUGAACUUAAAAGCAACCCAAGCUGCCAAUCUUUCUGUAGCUUGAAGCAGCAUGGCUGAAUGGUGAGGUACCAUAUGACAAAGCAUACAUAAGUCAUCAUAUAGCAUUCUCUAUUUUUGAAUUGUCAAUUCUUUGAAAUUGGGUACCUAUUUAAAGCUUGGAAGAAGUUGGUUGAAACUUAACAAAAGAACCCUUUCCUUUAAGGGUUGAUAAUACAUUUUCAGAAAGGUCCAAGAUGUCUCAGCUGAUGCCAUUUUCUCAUUGAUUUCUGAGUGACAGAACUAUAAUGCAUGUCUCAGAGAACCAAUUACUUUUAGAAAGUGCCUUUUCCUUGCUCCAAAUGGUAAAAUAAGAGCACAUUAGAAGUUCACAUGAUACAAUAAAACUUCUCUAUAGUAAUACUCUGUAUAAGAAUAACCUUCAUAUAGUCAUAAAAAAUUAUUAUCCCGAUUUGGGCCAGUUAUAAAAAAAAAUAAAGUCCACAUUGUAAUAAGUUACAAUUUUCUAAAUCCUAUUCUAAGGACAUUACCUCUAUAUAGUAAUAAUUAACUGAAUAUUCUAAAAAUAUAUAUACUAUACAACAUUAGAGGUUUUAGAUGGAAAAAAAAAAAAAAACUUUCUAAAGUUGUUAAGGGCAAUAUUUAUUUAGAUUCUUAAGAUUAUUUUGCAUAUUUUCCAGCAUUACAGAAAUUUUAUGUACUAGUAUUUUGAAAUUAUGUCUCCCUCUUUUAUCAAAGUCUAUAAAUUGGAUUUGACAUGCCCAUUAACUAUAUUAUCAAUAUAGUGUGUGUUUUACCUCUAUAUCACUUACACUAAGGAUAAAUGAGUCAAAAUAAUAAUUUUUGUAACUACACCUCUGUUAAGUUAUAACCUCAUAGUAAUAAAUUAGUUUGGUCCCAACAUUGCGACUACAAAGAGCUUUUACCGUACUAUCAUGUGGAGAUUUCCAACCUCGGGACUUUCUAAUGCAUGUAUAAGUGAAUUAAUUAUUUUGGAAAAAAAUAAUACCAUUCCAAGAAGGUUUCCAACUAUAAUUGAACCAAUUGGGUCAUAAAUUGCAUUUCCUGUGACAUUAACUGCAAUCAAUGAUGCUCCAGCUAUAACAAGGCCGGUAACUGCAGCACCAUCCUGCAUAACAGAAAUCAUUUAUUAGGGGUCCCAGACAAGGAGAAUAGUUGCAAUGUAUAUAUAGUAUCAGACAUAACUAGAGAACAAAUUAUCAGCAAUCAACCAAAAUAUAUUUUUUUUAAUUUGAAUUGCAAUAUGUAGUUAAUUGCAGUAAAGAUGAUUAGGGACAUACACG